UAUCUAAUCAAAGGUGGAAGAUGAAGGACAGCAAAGGCGAAGGCCGUGGUGAGCAAAUCAGGGAAGUAAAGUAACGGAACAGGCCUUCCUGGCGAGCGUCGCAGGGCUCAGGGCUCCGGCAGGGCGCCUCGGCUCCCCCGGAGCGUCCACGGAGGUGUCGGAGAUCCCGAGGGUCCGGGGGUUGGGGGGGCUUGAAGUGGCAGCAAGACAUGCAGUUACUGACCUCUUAUUAGCCAGACGACGCGUUAAUGACACGUUCCAAUGGAAGGUUCGACGCAUGGGGAGGUACAAUUCCCCUAAGCAAGGCAAGUGUCAUGCCAACUACGAUAAAAAACGAAAAAUCCCAAAAAAAUACAAAAACAAAAAAUCCAAAAAAAAAUGUCUUGUUUUGCUUUGUUUAAAGCGUCUUGUAUGUUGGUAUGGCGGGUCUUCUCUGGGGAGAAGGAGACUAACGCGUUCCAACAUAUAAAACCAGGAAAAGACGACAUGGAAACACCGAGAGAAGGAAGGGGAAGAAGGGAACACCAGAAGAAGGAAAAUGAAGAGAAGUAACACUAGAAGAAGGCAUAUGAAGUAACACAAGAAGGAAGUUGAAAAGAGUAACACAAGAAGAGGGAAUUUGAAAAGAGUAACACAGAAGAAGGUAUUGAAAAGAGUUACACAGAAUAAGGUAUUGAAAAGAGUUACACAGAAGAAGGUAUUGAAAAGAGUAACACAGAAGAAGGUAUUGAAAAGAGUAACACAGAAGAAGGUAUUGAAAAGAGUAACACAGAAGAAGGUAUUGAAAAGAGUAACACAGAAGAAGGUAUUGAAAAGAGUUACACAGAAGAAGGUAUUGAAAAGAGUUACACAGAAGAAGGUAUUGAAAAGAGUAACACAGAAGAAGGUAUUGAAAAGAGUAACACAGAAGAAGGUAUUGAAAAGAGUUACACAGAAGAAGGUAUUGAAAAGAGUUACACAGAAGAAGGUAUUGAAAAGAGUAACACAGAAGAAGGAAUUUGAAAAGAGUUACACAGAAGAAGGUAUUGAAAAGAGUAACACAGAAGAAGGAAUUUGAAAAGAGUA